UACAGAGGUCUCAAGCGUUGUUUCGGAUUCAUUGGGCGUAAAGGGUGCGUAGGUGGCGGGGUAAGUUGGAUGUGAAAUCUCGGGGCUCAACCCCGAAACUGCAUUCAAUACUGCCCUGCUCGAGUACUGGAGAGGAGAUCGGAAUUUACGGUGUAGCAGUGAAAUGCGUAGAUAUCGUAAGGAAGACCAGUGGCGAAGGCGGAU
rnacentral:rRNA from 1 species